rnacentral:rRNA from 1 species
UACGUAGGGGGCAAGCGUUGUCCGGAAUCAUUGGGCGUAAAGAGCGUGUAGGUGGCCUCAUAAGUCCGCUGUGAAAGUCAAAGGCUCAACCUUUGAAAGCCGGUGGAUACUGUGAGGCUAGAGUACGGAAGAGGCGAGUGGAAUUCCUGGUGUAGCGGUGGAAUGCGCAGAUAUCAGGAGGAACACCAAUAGCGAAGGCAGCUCGCUGGGACGUUACUGACACUGAGGCGCGAAAGCGUGGGGAGCGAACAGG